UACGUAGGGUGCAAGCGUUUGUCCGGAAUUAUUGGGCGUAAAGAGCUCGUAGGCGGUCUGUCGCGUCUGCUGUGAAAACUCAGGGCUUAACCCUGAGCUUGCAGUGGGUACGGGCAGACUAGAGUGCGGUAGGGGAGACUGGAAUUCCUGGUGUAGCGGUGAAAUGCGCAGGAUAUCAGGAGGAACACCGGGUGGCGGAAGGCGGGUCUCUGGGCCGUA
rnacentral:rRNA from 1 species